rnacentral:rRNA from 1 species
GUUUCAGCAGCCGCGGUAAUACGGAGGGUGCAAGCGUUAUCCGGAUUUAUUGGGUUUAAAGGGUGCGUAGGCGGCAAUUUAAGUCAGUGGUGAAAUCCUGCAGCUCAACUGUAGAACAGCCAUUGAAACUGAAUUACUUGAGUAAUCUUGAGGUAGGCGGAAUGUGUAGUGUAGCGGUGAAAUGCUUAGAUAUUACACAGAACACCGAUUGCGAAGGCAGCUUACUAAGGAUUUACUGACGCUGAUGCACGAAAGCGUGGGGAUCAAACAGGAUUAGAAACCCCCGUAGUCC